CCUCCUUUGGUUCAUAGGAUAAAAAAUCACAAUAAUAGAAAAGUCAUAGAAAAUGAGAUGACAUGCAUCUGAAAUCGUAUGAAUAGGAAUAUGAAAGAAGAUGUCCUUUGGUUCACAUCAUUGCAUUUUUAUCAUUGAGUCUAGACUAAUGUUUAUUUUCCUAUGAAAUACGGAGGAUAGUAAAAAUUUCUCUAUAGAAAUAGGAUUCUAUUCCUAUAAGAAUUGCUCUAAAGGAUUUUUUUUUUCUAUGCAAAUACUAUCCUGUGAGAUUACCACAAAAUUCCUUCAAACCAAAGGAGGUCUUAAUAGUUAGUCUGGUGGAUGGGCUACUAGCCCAGUGGUAGGCGCGAGGGAGGCGUGAGGGAGGCAAUGGCGAUCGGGGAGGCGGCAACGCUGUCAUCCUACACGGUAGGCGGGCCUUGGUGGCGCAGGAUGCGGUCUCACAGGCGUUGCUGAAUGCUGGCCCCGGCCGCCGCGGCUACUGGGGUCGGUGGAGAAGAUCCUUCUUCAACGCGCACAUGCAGGAGCUCCGGCGCCUCUUCCUCGCGCACUUGCUCCUCGCCGCCACGCGCCUUCUCCCGCGUAUUUUCUGCAUAUCGGCAACAAAAAGUUGUAAAAAAAAUGACUAUGGGACAAAAGCUAUCCUCUUCCUCGCUAUAUGGACAUGAAUAAGAAGAUACGCGGCCACUGCAGUGGACACGCUGUUCCUCGCGCAAUUGUGUGCGCCUUCAUGGCGACAUAUUGGCCACUGCAUCCUCUUCCUCGCGCAAUGUUUGGUUUACAUCACGGAGACUAUUUAGUUCUCCAUUUUCCCCUUUUAAUGGCAAUUUCAUAGCAUGGCAAAACCUGGGCUUUCUUUACAGCUCAAACUAUGCUUUUUAGUCACAGUACAAACUGGAUCAUACUCGGCUUUUCGUCACAGAAGAGGCCUAUACGGUAGUGAUGCUGUUGUGUUCACGCUGGGUGGAGCGAUCUCCUAUGCCGCGCUAUAAGCGCCGCGGAAGCAAACUGGCGCUCACAUGCAACACCUAGUGGGUCGGCCCAUGAACGCUCUGUGCACCAAAGCAUGUAGCACGAAUACCCACCAAAUAAUGAAUAUGUCGCGAGGAAUCAAACUUAUGCCGUUUGGCUACCACUGUAACAUCUCAGAGAUAAUGACUGCUUGUAACGUGCAUGCUUUAAGAACAUUUGUAGCGGCACUAUUUGAAUCAAAUUCGCAUAUUCAAAAAAGCUCAUUAGAAUUAGAAAAAGUUCACUAAUUUGAGAAAAACAGUACAAGAAUUAAAAAAAUUAUAGUUAGUUUAAAAAACUUUCAUUGAUUUUGAAAAACUAUAAUGAGUUUGAAAAAAGUUCAUCAAUUUGAAAAAAGUUCAAAACUUUGAUAAAAAGUUCAUCUAUUUUGAAAAAAAUUCAUCUAAUUUAAGAAUGUUAAUCGAUUUAGAAAAAAAGUUCACCAGUUUUGAAAAUAGUUCACCAAUUUUGGAAAAAAAAUCUUCAAAUUGAAAAAAGUUCAUACAAUUUAAAAAUUAGUUCAUCAAUUUUGGAAAAAAGAAUUUUUUAUUUUUGAAAAAAAUUCUUCGAUUUUGAAAAAAUGUUCAUUGAUUUUGCAAAAAGUUCAUCAAUUUUAAAAAACAUUCAUCAGUUCUGGAAAAAAUAUUUCAUCUAAUUGAAGAAGAAAUUCAUCGAUUUCGAAAAAUAGUUCACAAAAAACUAAAAAAGUUCAUCAAAUUUGAAAAAUAAUUGUGUAAUUUGAAAAAAAAUAAGUUCACAAAUUUAAAUAAAGUUCAUCGAUUUUGAUUUUUUUUACAAAUUUGAAAACAAGACCGGUUAUUUAAGAAAACAAAAAGGGAAAAGUAAAUAAAAACUUCCAGAAAAUGACCAGCGAACUUGAAAAGAAAACCCUGUGAACUGAAGAAAGAAAUAAAAAGGAAAGAAAAAAGAUAGUGUGCACGAGCGGGUGAAUAGCCUAAAGGUUGUUGUUGUAUCCUUAGAACGCUGAGGUUGUGAGUUAACCAGGAUGCCCACACUUUUUGGUUUUAACAGAGGAAAAAGAGGCAAACCAAUAUCUGGUGACUUCGUAAAUCUCAAGAUGAUAUGCCAGCUCAGUCUCUCGGAGGUGCUCAUAGGGAUAGGGUCUGCGUGUGUGCGUUCAUAAGGGUGAGUGUAUACGCGUAUGUAUGAGUGCUUGCGUCUGUACUGUAUUAAAAAAACAGAGAGAAAAGAUAAGUUAUAUGCGCUGGCUGGCCCAACAUGGAGCGACGGGUGGGCGCCGUUUUAGAGUUUGUACCGUAACCGGCGCCUCAAGCAACUGAGGAAGUGGCGUGAGUGGAGUGUGUGUGUGUGUGUGUGUGUGUGUGUGUGUGUGGUGUGGGGUGUGUGGGGGGGGGGAGGAGAGGGGCGUUAGGGCUAGGGCUCCUCUCAUCCCAAACGAGUUCUUCUAUCGAUGCCACCUCGGUAGCGAACGAAUCGUUUGAUCUAGGGAGCUCCCAGACCGAUCAUUCGGCCGUUAUCAGCGCCCUUUCUUUAAUAGUUAGCCUGGCUUGAUCUGGGCCAUCCUGCAAGCACAUGGCUGACUAAUUUGUCUUGAUCUACCAUAUAGCAUGGUGCACCAUGAAACGCUCCAUGAAAUUCAUUCCAAGAAAUUAGAUGGAGUAAUUUUUAAGGUGGAUUUUGAAAAAGCGUACGAUAAGGUUAAGUGGUCAUUCCUCCAACAGGCACUGCGUAUGAAAGGUUUCGAUGAUGCCUGGCGCAGACAGGUUGACUCAUUUACGCAAAAAGGGAGUGUGGGAAUUAAAGUGAAUGACGACAUAGGUCAUUAUUUCCAGACACAUAAAGGCCUAAGACAAGGAGAUCCGAUGUCUCCUAUCCUGUUUAACAUUGUGGUGGAUAUGUUAGCAAUUUUGAUAGGAAGGGCGAAGGAGAAUGGUCAAGUCGGUGGGUUGGUACCUCAUCUUGUUGAGGGAGGUGUUUCCAUCCUUCAGUACGCCGAUGAUACGAUCAUCUUUAUGGAGCAUGAUUUGGCCAAAGCAAGAAAUAUGAAGCUAGUGUUAUGCCUGUUUGAACAAUUGACUGGGUUAAAGAUUAACUUUCAUAAGAGCGAGUUGUUCUGUUUUGGUAGAGCCAAAGACGACCACGAAUCUUAUAGGCAAUUGUUUGGGUGCGAGUUGGGGAGUUUACCCUUCUCUUACCUAGGUAUUCCGAUACACCAUCGUCGGCUAACAAACAGCGAAUGGAAAUGCAUCGAGGAUCGAUUUGAGAAAAAACUGAGCUAUUGGAAGGGUAAGCUCAUGUCAUACGGAUGCCGUUUGAUAUUGAUUAAUUCGGUGCUCAGGAGUAUGCCUAUGUUUCUCUUAUUUUUCUUUGAGGUCCCAGUUGGUGUUAGGAAACGACUGGACUUCUAUCGGUCGCGUUUCUUUUGGCAGGGUGAUGAACUUAAAAGAAAAUACCGGCUUGCUAGAUGGGACAUCAUCUGUAGACCGAAGGACCAAGGGGGUCUCGGCAUUGAAAAUCUUGAAGUUAAGAACAGAUGCCUUCUUAGUAAGUGGUUGUGGAAGCUGUCUUCCGGGACUGAGGCCAUGUGGGCGCAGAUCCUCCGCAACAAGUACCUCCAGACUAAGACAUUAUCCCAGGUCGCAGUCAGGCCGACUGAUUCACCUUUCUGGAAAGGACUAAUGAAAGUCAAACAAUCUUUGUUUAAUAGGACGAGAUUUGUUAUUGGAAACGGUAUAAGUACACGUUUCUGGGAGGAUACUUGGCUUGGUGAAUCACCUUUAGCCAUUCAAUAUCCGUCUUUAUAUCGGAUUGCUCAACGACGGGACGUGUUCGUGGCAACGGUAUUCCAGUCUGCCCCCCUUAAUGUUCAGUUUCGACGGUCGCUAGCGGGCAAUCGAUGGGAACAAUGGCUCCAUCUAGUUAGGAGACUGAUGGAGGUUCAACUUUCUCACCAUCCUGAUAUAUUGCGCUGGAAGUUGACUAGCUCUGGAGUAUUUACAGUUAAAUCAAUGUAUAUUGAUGUUAUUAAUUCGUAUGCUAUUCCAACUUCCAAGUAUGUUUGGGCUAUCAAAGUUCCUUUAAAAAUUAAAGUGUUUAUGUGGUUUGUCCAUAAACAAGUUAUUUUAACAAAGGACAACUUGAUUAAACGCAAUUGAACAGGACCUACUAGGUGUAGUUUCUGUGAUCGGGAUGAGACGAUUAAACAUUUAUUCUUUGAUUGCCCGUUGGCCAAAGUCCUUUGGCAGACGGUCCAUAUUGCUUUUAAUAUUACUCCACCGACUUCGGUCAAUGCUUUAUUUGGGACAUGGCUUAAUGGGGUUAAGCCUGAAAUAGCAAGACAUAUUCGGGUUGGAGUUUCCACUUUGUUAUGGACUAUCUGGAAUUGCAGAAAUGAUUUGGUUUUUAACAGAACAUCACGUCAUUUUUUGCAGGUUAUUUUCCGAGCUACGGCACUGAUCCGUUCGUGGUCGCUACUCACUCCGAUGGAGGCCAGGGAGCAUUUGGUUACUGGAUCUACCCGCUGGGAGAUGGUAGCUCGGGAUAUCUUCAACCGGUUUGGAUGGCGGUCAUGUAAUAGGAUAGGCAAUUAGUUUCCCUAUCUAUUUUUAGCCAGCCGGUUGUGGCAUCUUUUUUCGGGCUAGCUUGUGUAUCUAGCCGGCGGUCGCUCUGGGUGAGCUGCAUUUAUCUUUUGCUUGUUGUUUGGCUGGAGACUUUUGGAACCUUGUGGACACCUUUGUUAAUAAGAUGGCCGUAUUCAACUUUCUGAUGCAGAGGCCGGGGAGAUCUCCUUUUCGAAAGAAAAUAUAGCAUGGUGUACAACAAGAUAUUAGGAAGCUCAGAAAGGAAGGAUGAAUCUCCCGCAAAAAAAAGGAAGGAUGAAUAGAUAGGGGUAGAACAAAAUUAAUCAAGACGAAAUCAAAACACACUAUAUAUUCAGUAGGGUGUUGAUAGAUAGCAAAAGGCCAUCCAUCCAUCUAUAGGAAUUAAAAGAGAGAAGAAAGCCACAUGUAUAUAAACAUAUCUACAUACAUACAUACAUACAUACAUACAUACCACGUACGGCAGCGAAGUAUAAUGAACAAGCUAGUGCUGUAGAACCCACCCGCCGGCCGGUGAGCAGAGAUGGGUGGGAUCUGGAUCAGCGCGGCGCUCCUGAGGUUUGAGGAAGACGAUGACGACCCAGCGUCAACGCUGUGAUGGUGGGGCGCAGAUUAGUG
rnacentral:lncRNA from 1 species